GGUGCUUGCACCAGAUGAAACUAGAUACAAGCGAGCGGCGGACGGGUGAGUAACACGUGGGUAACCUGCCCAAGAGACUGGGAUAACACCUGGAAACAGAUGCUAAUACCGGAUAACAACACUAGACGCAUGUCUAGAGUUUAAAAGAUGGUUCUGCUAUCACUCUUGGAUGGACCUGCGGUGCAUUAGCUAGUUGGUAAGGUAACGGCUUACCAAGGCAAUGAUGCAUAGCCGAGUUGAGAGACUGAUCGGCCACAUUGGGACUGAGACACGGCCCAAACUCCUACGGGAGGCANCAGUAGGGAAUCUUCCACAAUGGACGCAAGUCUGAUGGAGCAACGCCGCGUGAGUGAAGAAGGGUUUCGGCUCGUAAAGCUCUGUUGGUAGUGAAGAAAGAUAGAGGUAGUAACUGGCCUUUAUUUGACGGUNAUUACUUANAAAGUCACGGCUAACUACGUGCCANCAGCCGNGGUAAUUACAAUAA
rnacentral:rRNA from 1 species